rnacentral:rRNA from 1 species
UCGACGCGUUGGCCAAUUGAUUGAUGGUGCUUGCACCUGAUUGAUUUUGGUUGCCAACGAGUGGCGGACGGGUGAGUAACACGUAGGUAACCUGCCCAGAAGCGGGGGACAACAUUUGGAAACAGAUGCUAAUACCGCAUAACAGCGUUGUUCGCAUGAACAACGCUUAAAAGAUGGCUUCUCGCUAUCACUUCUGGAUGGACCUGCGGUGCAUUAGCUUGUUGGUGGGGUAACGGCCUACCAAGGCGAUGAUGCAUAGCCGAGUUGAGAGACUGAUCGGCCACAAUGGGACUGAGACACGGCCCAUACUCCUACGGGAGGCAGCAGUAGGGAAUCUUCCACAAUGGGCGCAAGCCUGAUGGAGCAACACCGCGUGAGUGAAGAAGGGUUUCGGCUCGUAAAGCUCUGUUGUUAAAGAAGAACACGUAUGAGAGUAACUGUUCAUACGUUGACGGUAUUUAACCAGAAAGUCACGGCUAACUACGUGCCAGCAGCCGCGGUAAUACGUAGGUGGCAAGCGUUAUCCGGAUUUAUUGGGCGUAAAGAGAGUGCAGGCGGUUUUCUAAGUCUGAUGUGAAAGCCUUCGGCUUAACCGGAGAAGUGCAUCGGAAACUGGAUAACUUGAGUGCAGAAGAGGGUAGUGGAACUCCAUGUGUAGCGGUGGAAUGCGUAGAUAUAUGGAAGAACACCAGUGGCGAAGGCGGCUACCUGGUCUGCAACUGACGCUGAGACUCGAAAGCAUGGGUAGCGAACAGGAUUAGAUACCCUGGUAGUCCAUGCCGUAAACGAUGAGUGCUAGGUGUUGGAGGGUUU